rnacentral:rRNA from 1 species
GAUGAACGCUAGCGGCAGGCCUAAUACAUGCAAGUCGAACGAGAUUAAGAGGCUUGCUUCUUAUGAAAGUGGCGCACGGGUGCGUAACGCGUAUGCAACCUACCUUAAUCAGGGGGAUAGCCCGAAGAAAUUCGGAUUAAGACCGCAUAAAAACACAGGAUAGCAUUAUCCAAUGUUCAAAUAUUUAUAGGAUUAAGAUGGGCAUGCGUGUCAUUAGCUAGUUGGCGGGGUAACGGCCCACCAAGGCGACGAUGACUAGGGGAUCUGAGAGGAUGACCCCCCACACUGGUACUGAGACACGGACCAGACUCAUACGGGAGGCAGCAGUAAGGAAUAUUGGUCAAUGGAGGGAACUCUGAACCAGCCAUGCCGCGUGCAGGAAGACAGCCCUCUGGGUCGUAAACUGCUUUUAUUCGGGAAUAAACCUUUCUACGUGUAGGAAGCUGAAUGUACCGAAGGAAUAAGGAUCGGCUAACUCCGUG